GGGCGUUAAGUUGCAGGGUAUAGACCCGAAACCCGGUGAUCUAGCCAUGGGCAGGUUGAAGGUUGGGUAACACUAACUGGAGGACCGAACCGACUAAUGUUGAAAAAUUAGCGGAUGACCUGUGGCUGGGGGUGAAAGGCCAAUCAAACCGGGAGAUAGCUGGUUCUCCCCGAAAGCUAUUUAGGUAGCGCCUCGUGAAUUCAUCUCCGGGGGUAGAGCACUGUUUCGGCUAGGGGGCCAUCCCGGCUUACCAACCCGAUGCAAACUGCGAAUACCGGAGAAUGUUAUCACGGGAGACACACGGCGGGUGCUAACGUCCGUCGUGAAGAGGGAAACAACCCAGACCGCCAGCUAAGGUCCCAAAGUCAUGGUUAAGUGGGAAACGAUGUGGGAAGGCCCAGACAGCCAGGAUGUUGGCUUAGAAGCAGCCAUCAUUUAAAGAAAGCGUAAUAGCUCACUGGUCGAGUCGGCCUGCGCGGAAGAUGUAACGGGGCUAAACCAUGCACCGAAGCUGCGGCAGCGACGCUUAUGCGUUGUUGGGUAGGGGAGCGUUCUGUA
rnacentral:rRNA from 1 species